GAUGAACGCUGACAGAAUGCUUAACACAUGCAAGUCUUUGGUGAAGCUGUGCUUGCACAGCCUAGCCAAGGCGGACGGGUGAGUAACGCGUAAGGAACUUGCCCUGCAGUCAGGGAUAACAGACGGAAACGACUGAUAAGACCUGGUAAAGUCAGGCGGACUCAUGUCCAGCCUGAUGAAAAGAGAUGCUGCAGGAGAGCCUUGCGUCCUAUUAGCUUGUUGGUGGGGUAACGGCCCACCAAGGCAAUGAUAGGUAGCCGGCCUGAGAGGGUGGACGGCCACAAGGGGACUGAGAUACGGCCCUUACUACUACGGGAGGCAGCAGUGGGGAAUAUUGGACAAUGGGGGCAACCCUGAUCCAGCAAUUCUGUGUGCAAGAUGAAGGUCUUCGGAUUGUAAAGUGCUUUCAGCAGGGAAGAAAAAAAUGACGGUACCUGCAGAAGAAGCGACGGCUAAAUACGUG
rnacentral:rRNA from 1 species